rnacentral:miRNA from 1 species
GUAUUAGGUUGGUGCAAAAGUAAUUGCAGUUUUUGUAAUUACUUUUAAUGGCAAAAGCUGCAAUUACUUUUGCAC